ACAUCACGCCAGCUGAAUGUAGGCUGGGGAAACCCCUGGUCAGGACAGAAAUAUCUUUAGCCGCUGCCGUCCAUGAUGGAAAAGGGAAGUGGAAUUUUGUUCAAAUACCAUGUUGUUUUGAGAAGUCUGACUAACGUGAAAGUCCCUAUUUAGAAAUGGUUGACUCUGCCUUGAAACUCGUCCGGAGUUUCCACAGCCGCAUGUUGACUAAGGCCUCGAAACACAAACUUCCUGGUAGCUACCGGCUCUAAUCACCUGGGACUGAGAGCUCCUCCACCAGACAAUCCCAGAGCUGUGCUCCGAGGGCCUCCGCCAGGAAAAAGCCUGGACUCCAUUUAUCAAAGGACAAAGAGACCCCAGGCGGGGGCCCUAGGCCUGAGCCAGCUGAGUCCUCCAGAGAGGAACCUGGGAAUCGGAAAGAGUCUUGGGCGGUUUUGCCAAGUCCCUUCUUAGAAACAGGAAAAGUGAGGAAGAGGGGACAGGCUACAUGCAGCUGGCUCGCAUUCAGCACCUAUGAAAUGUCGCUCACUGAAUCUUCGCUUCUACCAGAAGCCCCUGUCCAUGUUCCCUCCCUUCCCUUCAUCCCAACUUGCUUCUGGUUUUGGGUUAUCCUGUUGCCCCAGUGGUUAAAUCGUUUCAGGGAUGGGGAGAUGGCUCAGUGGGCAAAGACCUCCCAGAGGAUGAGAACCCCAUUUGGAUCCCUAGUUUUCCCACGGAAAAGAUCAGCUGGGUAUAGUGUUCUUGGAGCGGCAGGACUCGGAGGACCGUGGGCCAGCCAGUCCGUCUAACCAAUCACUGAGCUCCAGCUUCCGUUAGGAACCCUGCCUCAUAAGGGAAGGUGAGGAAUGAUUGUUGCAUAAACCCUUUGCCCCUAGGGAGCCACACAACACCCAUCUCCCAGGUUUCGAGACGAACCAAAGUUCAAGCCCACCCUGGGACCAAUGAGUUUAUCAACGCUUACUUACAGAGCGGGGUGACCCAGAAGUAGCCACUAUGGAAGGUGGGCACCCAGCGUGGAAGACGCCGAUUUUCCCCAUGGCUGUGUAGACGGAGCUGCCUCCUCUCAGCCUUCCUCACCUACAUCCUCCAGCCCCUCCCCGAGCCCCGGAGACCCCGUGCAAUUAGGGCACAGUUGCCUACAGCUGGCUGCGUGCGCAGACUCCUGAAGAUGAGGACAGUGUGGCUCAGAGGAUAGAACGUGGAACCUGGAAGCAACCCGGUGUCAAGCUCUGGCCUAUGGAGCGGGUGCACGCACCCCUCUCCCCAUGCGAGCGUUCCUCACGUUCCUUCACAGUUCAGCCACGUAAUUGGUGAAUGCUUUUCAGUUACUCAGAGAAUUUAUGAAAGUCCCUGACAUGGAGCCUCGAACUCAACACAGGCCCUGUGGAGACAGGGAUCAAGGUUCUGCAUCAACAGACCUCCUCGGAACUCUGGAGAAUUAGUUCUCAAGGCCGGGAGGAUUGUGGCCAGGCAGUCUGAAAUCCCACCCUCUGGGUGGCCUACAGGAGCCACCCGGGGGAGCAGGAAGCCACAUGCCUCCCAGGGCGAUGGACCCACAGGAAAACAGCCUUUCCCGUGUCUGCUUUAGCGAGACUUCCUUUCACCUGUGUGCCCCAGCAAAACCUCAUUUGACGUAACUGACCUGGCAAAGAACCUAGAAGUUUCCACUCCACCACCCAGUCAGCUUCUUUUUGUGACACUCCGAGACAGUCUCACUCUGUAGCCCAGGCUAGCCUGAGGAUCAGGCUAUCCUUGAAUGUGUGAUAAACUUCUUGCCUC